UACGUAGGGGGCUAGCGUUCGUCCGGAAUCAUUGGGCGUAAAGAGCGUGUAGGCGGCUAGGUAGGUCCGUUGUGAAAACUCGAGGCUCAACCUCGAGACGCCGAUGGAAACCAUCUAGCUAGAGUCCGGAAGAGGCGAGUGGAAUUCCCGGUGUAGCGGUGAAAUGCGCAGAUAUCGGGAGGAACACCUAUGGCGAAGGCAGCUCGCUGGGACGUUACUGACGCUGAGACGCGAAAGCGUGGGGAGCAAACAGG
rnacentral:rRNA from 1 species